rnacentral:lncRNA from 1 species
UCAAUUUAAAAGAAUUGCAUAAAAACAAAAAUGUAAAAUGAAGAAAUUUUAAAACCAUGGAUAAAAACAAAUUAUCAAAACCAUUUCUUCAAAAACAAAGUUGUGAAAAAUAAAUAUGAUAGCAGUUGUAAAAUAAAAAACUAGUUUUUCAAUCAAAUUUUUGCAAAAACUUUAUUUUAAAAAUUCAAAAGGUGAAUUUUGGUGUGUAAACAUUGUAUAAUAUAGGCAUUCAUUGUUAUUUAUUUCAUAACUCAUUAAAACUAUUUCUCAAUCCACUAUGUCGACAUCGUCAUCCUCUCGCGCUGCCCCCUCGGCUGAUGAGUCCGACUAUGUCACUGUUGUCCCUUGACGUGAUUCCCCGCCUCUGUGGAAGAAGACCCCUCGGAAGACACGAAAGACACGGGAGACUCGGUGGAGAUUAGUAGCGACAACGCCCUGAGUCAGCAACGCGAGACAUAGCUUGCAUCGGUGUUUUGUAUCCGACACACUGCGAGGAAGAACGUCUCUAGACCCGUAGGAAUGUUAUCCGAUGGAGCAGGACCUAGUAGGGUAGGACCUAGCAUGGCAGGACCGAGAGCACCCCCACCACAUCGAGUAAUUGAGAUACCUAUCAGGCAGGUAGAUAUAACCUUAGAGGAGUCUCGAAGAAUGCAAUGGAUGGCAGCGGACCUACGUCAGAGUCUCACAGUGAUAGCUGGGCAUCAGCAGGUUUUGGAUGUAGUGACGACAUGAAUGGGCAUCCUAUUUCACUACGAGAAUACAAAGCUAAGGCGACGACAGCUAUCCCGACGCCGGUAAUCGUCGCUACAAGUCAACCUAUGCCGACGACAAGUCGUCGCCAUAGGUCUCGCGGGAACGUCGAAAAUGUUGGCGGUAAUAUGAAAAUAUAUACCGAUGACGUGUCGUCGGUAUAGGUAAUAAAAAAAGGAUUUUUCAUUUAUUUUUAUUCCAAGUGCCAGAAAAAGAAAACGACGUAGUUUUUGAACACCCUAUCCCGGUGACAAGUCGUCGGCACAGGGUUUUUAAUUUACAUUUAUAUUUUUAUUCGAGGAUUAAAUGAUACGUCGUCGUUUAUGUCGACCCUAUGCCGACGACAUGUCGUCGGCAUAGGGGUAUACCCUAAUUCAGUGAAUUCAAAUUAGAAUUGCCUGAAAAUGAUUUCAAAAAGGAAUUUCCUUCAUGGUUUAAACAAAAGGUAAGUAUGUUAUAUAUUUAUAAUGUAAAACUAAGUUAUUGCUUAAACAUAUAAUCUUAUAUUUCCUUAUAGAUUUAUUGUCUCCAAAAAGAUGUGCCUACGGACUGUACUGACGAAUUAAAGGCGUUGGCAUAUGGUCCGUUGCGUGCAUAUUCGUACACUGCAUGCAUAGUAAAUGGUGUCCGAUUUGUCAUGAAUAGUCGUGAUCUCCGACGCACUACUCAAAAUAGUGGUGUUGUUACAUUCGGAGAAGACGGUACACCAUUUUAUGGUCAAUUAGAGGAGAUCAUAGAGUUACAUCCUUUAUAUGAUAAAUCAGUUGUACUCUUUCAUGGUAAAUGGUUCAAUGCCUCAUUACGUAAUGGACGCUUAAAGACUAUAAAUAAUAUGAUUCUUAUCGAUACCAGUCAUGAAUGGUAUGUCAGUAAAACGUGGUUUGAUGAUCAACAAUACAUCUUAGCCACACAAGCUAAACAAGUAUUUUAUCUCCAAGAUCCCACUCAAAACAAUAACUGGAGAGUUGUGGAAGAGGUUCAUCAUCGAAAACUUUGGAAUCAUCCAAGUAUCGGUGUUGUGAAUGAGAUAGAUGUUGUGAACAACACUCAAUCAACUGAUUUUACCUUGGUUGUUGACUUAGGCACCUUACCUAUGCAGACGACUUUAGGUGAAGUUGGUGAAUCAAGUGUGGUUGCUAGGAGGAAUGUUGCUCCUAAUAUAAACGAUGACGAUUUCAUUAACGAUGAAAAUGACAAUGAUGAUACGUACUCUUCAGAUGAAGAAAUAAAUAAUGAAAACUAUGACAGUGAUGAUGAUGUUGUACAUGUAUAUUGUUCUAGUGAUGAAUCUGAUUGAUGGUAUGUUAUUGUUAUUAUAUCUCCUGAUUGCUUAUAAUAUUUGUUAAAUUUUGAAAUGUUGCUUAUUUCUAGUUUUAUUAUAUAUUCUGAAUGUUUAUAAUAUUUGUUAAACAGAUGGCAGAAGUCGCGAGGGGACAUAGAGGAGACGGUGGGGAUAGACCUCCACACGGGAUUGCACGCGGUGUACCAUCGGAUUGCCAAUCUUGUAAGUUAUAUGAAAUUUUUAAUUAUUAGAUAUAUUAAUGUUUUAAAUUUCUAAAUUUCCAAUUGUAUAUGUAAAUAUAGCACAAGCGAAGAAUGUGAAUGUGCGUGGCAAAGGGAGAAACUUAAAUUUGUACGAUGAGUAUGAAAAAAACAAGUGUAAGCCUUUGGAAUUGCUAAUUGAUAUCUCCGGGCGGACGUAUCGAGUUAUAGGGGACAACGGGCAACUGUUUGUCAGACUGAUCUCAAAUCUGGUGGGAUCAAAGGUACCGUUGCAUUAUCAUACUUGGCGUCGUGUUCCUGCCAAGUACAAAGUUGAUUUAUAUCCCGAGCUAGAGGUAAAUAUAUAAUACAUUUUAUAUGUAUUGAAUUUUACACUUAUUAAAUAUUUUUUUACUAAUCAAAUAUGUUUUUCCUUUUGCAGACUUAUUUUGAUAUUGAUAGGUAUCGGGGCACAAACUUGUGGGAACCCCUUCGAGCGGGUAUCCAAGCAGAUAUGCAAAGAGCUUAUCGAGAGCGCAAGUAUCAGAUAAAAAAACAUUUUGAUAGAGUUGGUGGAUAUCGUAAUGUGGAAAGGGCAAGAAGACGUCCACCGGAUGAUUGGACCGCCAAAGCUUGGAACGAUAUGAUUGAUUUGUUGUUUUUGACCGAGGAAUACAGACGCACGUCGGAAAAAAAUAAAGUUACUAGGUCGAAACUUCCACACACAAGUGCUCACGGAUGUAGACCGUAUGCUCAACGACGUUAUUUAGAGGUAAUAAAAUACAUUAGUAUUAUUUAAAAUUGUUAUUAACAUUUGUACAAAUACAUUUAUUGUUUUUUCACUUAUUAUAGGAACAAAUGGGAAUCAAGCCGCAACAUAUUGAGGGUUGGAGACAAAUGCGCUACAAAGAAGGUUCGGGUUGGUGUACAAGUCGAGUAGAAGAAGACUGGAUAAGUGAUAAACGAAAUGAAUAUGGUGUUUAAAUAUAUUAUUAUUAAUUAUAGUUUCUUGUUUAAGGAAUAUUAUUAUUUUUUGAAUGUUUAAGUUUAGUUGUUUGUUUUAAUUAACGUAUGUUAAUUGUUUUCUUUAUUUUAGGAGAAAAUUCAAAAUGAAUAUGAGAAAAUGCAAAACGAGGUUGGGGAAGGAGGAGAAGUAAACGAGGAAGAAUGUUUAGAACGUGCCCUUGGGACGAGACGUGGACAUGCUCGCGGGGUGGGUAGGAGACCAACCGCCAACUUCGGUUUAAUUCCAAAUGAACGGCCUUCCACUUCCAAAUCGUCUCAAUCUCAACCCCAAUCUCAAUCCCAAUUCGAUGCACAACAAAUGCAAGAAUAUUUGCAACAAUAUAAUGCGUCAUUGGUGGCUUGUAUUCCGAACUUCCAACCACCACCAUUUCCUAACUUUCUAUUAAACUAUAACACACAAGCAAGUAGCUCUCAACAAUUUUCCGAAAGGAUGGAAGGAGAAGAAGAAGGAGAAGAAGAAGAAGGAGAAGACUACUUAUUGUUAGUUAACUACUUAUUGUAAUAUUAAACUUGAACAAUGUUAGUUAACUACUUAUUGUAAUAUUAAACUUGAAUUUGAUGUUUUGAAUUUGAACAAUGGUACCUAGUUAAUGUAUUUCAAUUGAUAUAUGUUGCAAUGUUUUUUGGAUUUGUUAAAAAUGCAGGAAUGGUAAUGUACAAAACCUAUAAAGCUAAAAAAACAACCAGUAGCUAUCCCGACAACUAGUCGUCACUAUAGGUCCAUAACCGUUAACUGAUAAAACCCUUUAGCGACGACAAGGCAUCGUAAUAGCCUCAACUUGUCCCGACGACUUGUCGUCACCAUAGCUAUCCCGACG